rnacentral:rRNA from 1 species
GUUUUGUUCCGAAGCAAAGAUAUCCGCGGAGGCCGGUUCUUUCGUCCUAUUCUGAAAUUCAGGACCAAGAGGUACUGGAUUCUCUUUCAGAUAGGCCCUGAAAGGAGAAGAAAGGCUGAAAUGCCAACGGACCUCUGUCUAUUCUCUAACUCACCCGAUCCGAUAGUACCCGUUUUUGGAACGUCCAGUGCGAGAGUCACUGAAUGGGUAAGUCACCAAUCCAAUCCCUUUGACAAAUCGGAUGUCAUAUUAGAUAUCAUAUUCUAUAUAUUAGUCGUUGCGAGUGGCUCCCGAAUCAUCAUGUACAUAAAAGAAGAUGCAAAGUCGGCGAUCGAUUCGAAACGGCUUUCACCCUGCUUUAAAAUAAUAAAGUCAUAG